rnacentral:rRNA from 1 species
UACAGAGGGUGCGAGCGUUAAUUGAAGUUACUGGGCGUAAAGCGUGCGCAGGCGGCUUUGCAAGACAGAUGUGAAAUCCCCGGGCUUAACCUGGGAACUGCAUUUGUGACUGCAUGGCUGGAGUGCGGCAGAGGGGGAUGGAAUUCCGCGUGUAGCAGUGAAAUGCGUAGAUAUGCGGAGGAACACCGAUGGCGAAGGCAAUCCCCUGGGCCUGCACUGACGCUCAUGCACGAAAGCGUGGGGAGCAAACAGG